CCGUAACUAUAACGGUCCUAAGGUAGCGAAAUUCCUUGUCGGGUAAGUUCCGACCUGCACGAAUGGCGUAAUGAUGGCCAGGCUGUCUCCACCCGAGACUCAGUGAAAUUGAACUCGCUGUGAAGAUGCAGUGUACCCGCGGCAAGACGGAAAGACCCCGUGAACCUUUACUAUAGCUUGACACUGAACACUGGUCCUUGAUGUGUAGGAUAGGUGGGAGGCUUUGAAGUGUGGACGCCAGUCUGCAUGGAGCCGUCCUUGAAAUACCACCCUUUAAUGGCUGGUGUUCUAACGUAGACCCGUAAUCCGGGUUGCGGACAGUGUCUGGUGGGUAGUUUGACUGGGGCGGUCUCCUCCCAAAGAGUAACGGAGGAGCACGAAGGUUAGCUAAUCCUGGUCGGACAUCAGGAGGUUAGUGCAAUGGCAUAAGCUAGCUUGACUGCGAGAGUGACGGCUCGAGCAGGUGCGAAAGCAGGUCAUAGUGAUCCGGUGGUUCUGAAUGGAAGGGCCAUCGCUCAACGGAUAAAAGGUACUCCGGGGAUAACAGGCUGAUACCGCCCAAGAGUUCAUAUCGACGGCGGUGUUUGGCACCUCGAUGUCGGCUCAUCACAUCCUGGGGCUGAAGUAGGUCCCAAGGGUAUGGCUGUUCGCCAUUUAAAGUGGUACGCGAGCUGGGUUUAGAACGUCGUGAGACAGUUCGGUCCCUAUCUGCCGUGGGCGCUGGAGAAUUGAGGGGGGCUGCUCCUAGUACGAGAGGACCGGAGUGGACGCAUCACUGGUGUUCGGGUUGUCAUGCCAAUGGCACUGCCCGGUAGCUAAAUGCGGAAAAGAUAAGUGCUGAAAGCAUCUAAGCACGAAACUUGCCCCGAGAUGAGUUCUCCCUGAGACUUUAAGUCUCCUGAAGGAACGUUGAAGACGACGACGUUGAUAGGCCGGGUGUGUAAGCGCAGCGAUGCGUUGAGCUAACCGGUACUAAUGAACCGUGAGGCUUAACCUU
rnacentral:rRNA from 1 species